UCUCUGAUUCAGGAGCAAACUGUUGCCAUGUGACAAGGACAUCAGGAUGGCAAAAGACGCAAUGAGGGGUCAUUUUUUGCAGAAGCAGAAUGGACUUCCUCCACAUGUGCCACUCUCUUUACAGAUUCUGUUGCUGCUGCCUUUGUCUGAAAGUUAGCUAGGGCGUUUUCCUGAUACUCAGGUUCACUCCUUUAGUGUGGGCCUUAAUUUUGAUGAUAGCAAUUUCAGAAGUGAAUGUUUAAAUGCCGAACCUUGAGGUCUUUUCUAAGAUUUUGCAUUGAUUUUAUCUAAUUGGAAUGUUUCCCAGAGUGACCAUUAUACUUCUAGGAAAUGGAGUGCCAUGACAAAUGGUUCCAGUGGAAGCCUCUAGAGAAUUUACAUACAAGUGCUCCAAGGAAAGAAGUCUGCUUUGAUCAUCUACUGAGUCCAGCUUCCAACAUUUACCAAUGCU
rnacentral:lncRNA from 1 species